GAGCCCGUUAAUGGGUGAUGGCGUGCCUUUUGUAGAAUGAACCGGCGAGUUACGAUUUGAUGCAAGGUUAAGCAGUAAAUGUGGAGCCGUAGCGAAAGCGAGUCUGAAUAGGGCGUUUAGUAUUUGGUCGUAGACCCGAAACCAGGUGAUCUACCCUUGGUCAGGUUGAAGUUCAGGUAACACUGAAUGGAGGACCGAACCGACUUACGUUGAAAAGUGAGCGGAUGAACUGAGGGUAGCGGAGAAAUUCCAAUCGAACCUGGAGAUAGCUGGUUCUCUCCGAAAUAGCUUUAGGGCUAGCCUCAAGUGAUGAUUAUUGGAGGUAGAGCACUGUUUGGACGAGGGGCCCCUCUCGGGUUACCGAAUUCAGACAAACUCCGAAUGCCAAUUAAUUUAACUUGGGAGUCAGAACAUGGGUGAUAAGGUCCGUGUUCGAAAGGGAAACAGCCCAGACCACCAGCUAAGGUCCCAAAAUAUAUGUUAAGUGGAAAAGGAUGUGGCGUUGCCCAGACAACUAGGAUGUUGGCUUAGAAGCAGCCAUCAUUUAAAGAGUGCGUAAUAGCUCACUAGUCGAGUGACACUGCGCCGAAAAUGUACCGGGGCUAAACAUAUUACCGAAGCUGUGGAUUGUCCUUUGGACAAUGGUAGGAGAGCGUUCUAAGGGCGUUGAAGCAUGAUCGUAAGGACAUGUGGAGCGCUUAGAAGUGAGAAUGCCGGUGUGAGUAGCGAAAGACGGGUGAGAAUCCCGUCCACCGAUUGACUAAGGUUUCCAGAGGAAGGCUCGUCCGCUCUGGGUUAGUCGGGUCCUAAGCUGAGGCCGACAGGCGUAGGCGAUGGAUAACAGGUUGAUAUUCCUGUACCACCUAUAAUCGUUUUAAUCGAUGGGGG
rnacentral:rRNA from 1 species